rnacentral:rRNA from 1 species
UACGGAGGGUGCAAGCGUUAUCCGGAUUCACUGGGUUUAAAGGGUGCGUAGGUGGGGUGGUAAGUCAGUGGUGAAAUCUCCAAGCUUAACUUGGAAACUGCCGUUGAUACUAUCAUUCUUGAAUAUCGUGGAGGUAAGCGGAAUAUGUCAUGUAGCGGUGAAAUGCUUAGAUAUGACAUAGAACACCGAUUGCGAAGGCAGCUUGCUACACGAGCAUUGACACUGAGGCACGAAAGCGUGGGGAUCAAACAGG